rnacentral:rRNA from 1 species
CGGACGGGUGAGUAACGCGUGGGUAACCUGCCUUAUACAGGGGGAUAACAACCAGAAAUGGUUGCUAAUACCGCAUAAGCGCACAGCUUCACAUGAGGCAGUGUGAAAAACUCCGGUGGUACAGGAUGGUCCCGCGUCUGAUUAGCCAGUUGGCAGGGUAACGGCCUACCAAAGCGACGAUCAGUAGCCGGCCUGAGAGGGUGAACGGCCACAUUGGGACUGAGACACGGCCCAAACUCCUACGGGAGGCAGCAUG